UGCGAGUCGAGCGUCUCUAGCUAUGUUGAGACGCGGCAUACGGCUCAGUAACACGUGGCUAACCUACCCUCAGGACGGGGACAAACCCGGGAAACUGGGGCUAAUAUCCGAUAGGUGAGGAUGCCUGGAAUGGUUUCUCACUCAAAGGGCUUUAGGAACAUGCUUCUAAAGUCGCCUGGGGAUGGGGCCGCGACCGAUCAGGUUGUUGGUGAGGUAAUGGCUCACCAAGCCUAUAACCGGUACGGGCCGUGAGAGCGGUAGCCCGGAGAUGGGUACUGAGACAAGGACCCAGGCCCUACGGGGCGCAGCAGUCGCGAAAACUCCGCAAUGCACGAAAGUGUGACGGGGCUACCCCAAGUGCCAUCCGCUGAGGUUGGCUUUUCCUUGGUAUAACUAGCCAGGGGAAUAAGGAGAGGGCAAGACUGGUGUCAGCCGCCGCGGUAAUACCAGCUCUCCGAGUGGUAGGGAUGAUUAUUGGGCUUAAAGCGUCCGUAGCCGGCUUAGCAAGUCUCCUGUUAAAUUCAGCGACCUAAUCGUUGAGCCGCGGGAGAUACUACUAGGCUAGGAGGCGGGAGAGGUCGACGGUACUUCUGGGGUAGGGGUGAAAUCCUAUAAUCCCGGGAGGACCACCAGUGGCGAAGGCUGUCGACUAGAACGCGCUCGACGGUGAGGGACGAAAGCUGGGGGAGCGAACCGGAUUAGAUACCCGGGUAGUCCCAGCCGUAAACGAUGCGGGCUAGGUGUUGGGGUGGCUACGUGCCACUUCAGUGCCGCAGGGAAGCCAUUAAGCCCGCCGCCUGGGGAGUACGGCCGCAAGGCUGAAACUUAAAGGAAUUGGCG
rnacentral:rRNA from 1 species